UUGACCUCGGAUCAGGUAGGAAUACCCGCUGAACUUAAGCAUAUCAAA
rnacentral:rRNA from 30 species